rnacentral:rRNA from 1 species
GAUGAACGCUAGCGGCAGGCUUAAUACAUGCAAGUCGAGGGGCAGCAUGAUUGUAGCAAUACAAUUGAUGGCGACCGGCAAACGGGUGCGGAACACGUACACAACCUUCCAACAAGUGGGGGAUAGCCCAGAGAAAUUUGGAUUAAUACCCCGUAACAUAGCGAUGUGGCAUCACAUUGCUAUUAUAGAUUUUUCGCUUGUUGAUGGGUGUGCGGCUGAUUAGAUAGUUGGCGGGGUAACGGCCCACCAAGUCUACGAUCAGUAGCUGAUGUGAGAGCAUGAUCAGCCACACGGGCACUGAGACACGGGCCCGACUCCUACGGGAGGCAGCAGUAAGGAAUAUUGGACAAUGGACGCAAGUCUGAUCCAGCCAUGCCGCGUGAAGGAUUAAGGUCCUCUGGAUUGUAAACUUCUUUUAUAAGGGACGAAACCCGGCUUUUCUAAGUCGUCUGACGGUACCUUAUGAAUAAGCACCGGCUAACUCCGUGCCAGCCGCCGCGGUAAAAC